CCUACGGGAGACAGCAGUGGGGAAUAUUGCGCAAUGGGCGAAAGCCUGACGCAGCGACGCCGCGUGAGGGAUGAAGGUCUUCGGAUCGUAAACCUCUGUCAGCAGGGAAGAACGGUCACUGUGCUAAUCAGCAGUGAAUUGACGGUACCUGCAAAGGAAGCACCGGCUAACUCCGUGCCAGCAGCCGCGGGAAUACGGAGGGUGCGAGCGUUAAGCGGAAUUACUGGCCGUAAAGCGCUCGUAGGCGGUAUGUCAAGUCAAGGGUGAACUCCCCGCGCUCAACGUGGGAACUGCCUUUGAAACUGGCAAACUGGAGUGUGUGAGAGGAUAGUGGAAUUCCAGGUGUAGGAGUGAAAUCCGUAGAUAUCUGGAGGAACAUCAGUGGCGAAGGCGACUAUCUGGCACAUAACUGACGCUGAGGAGCGAAAGCGUGGGUAGCAAACAGGAUUAGAUACCCUUGUAGUC
rnacentral:rRNA from 1 species